rnacentral:rRNA from 1 species
UACGAAGGGGGCUAGCGUUGUUCGGAAUCACUGGGCGUAAAGGGUGCGUAGGUCAGGGGUGAAAUCCCGAGGCUCAACCUCGGAACUGCCUUUGAUACUGGGGUCCUUGAGUCCGGAAGAGGUGAGUGGAACUGCGAGUGUAGAGGUGAAAUUCGUAGAUAUUCGCAAGAACACCGGUGGCGAAGGCGGCUCACUGGUCCGGAACUGACGCUGAGGCACGACAGCGUGGGGAGCAAACAGG